rnacentral:rRNA from 1 species
GUGGGGAAUAUUGGACAAUGGGGGCAACCCUGAUCCAGCCAUGCCGCGUGAAUGAUGAAGGCCUUCGGGUUGUAAAGUUCUUUUGGAGGGGACGAUGAUGACGGUACCCUCAGAAUAAGCUCCGGCUAACUUCGUGCCAGCAGCCGCGGUAAUACGAAGGGAGCUAGCGUUGUUCGGAAUUACUGGGCGUAAAGGGCGCGUAGGCGGUUUGGUUAGUCAGAUGUGAAAGCCCAGGGCUUAACCCUGGAACUGCGUUUGAUACUGCCAAGCUUGAAUUCGGGAGAGGUGAGUGGAAUUCCCAGUGUAGAGGUGAAAUUCGUAGAUAUUGGGAAGAACACCGGUGGCGAAGGCGGCUCACUGGACCGACAUUGACGCUGAGGCGCGAAAGCGUGGGGAGCAUACAGGAUUAGAAACCCGUGUAGUCC